rnacentral:lncRNA from 10 species
GAAAGUGUGCGCUACACGCCGCCUCGGCCAUCCUCCGGGACGUCCCCACUUGUCCGCGGGAGGUUGACAUAAUCUGGUGUCAAGAAGUGGGACCAAAGUGAGCUCACCUUGAUGGAUCGGUGACUCCUGGAAUCACAUGAAGUUCCCACAUUGAGCCCCUUUGAGCUCUCCAAUCCUACAGCUCACCUUUUCUGUCAUGGUGAAUCUCCUCUCAGGUUCUUGAACUCCCUCAUUUUGGGCUGCCCACCUGUGAAGAAGAUUGAGGUGGAAUAAGAGCAAAACCUCAAGUGGGGCCAUUUUUGCUUCAGAAUGAAAUAGAAAAAGGCCACAGCUGAACUACAUUUUCUAGCAAUCCUCAGAAUAAGAUGUGGUCAUUGACUGAAUUCUGGACAAUGGAAUGGAGUAGAGUGAAAUACAUCACUCCUAGUGACAAGGAGGCACUCAAGCAUGAGUUACAACACAACCGACCUGGAAUACAGCUGAAAAGAUUGAAGCAACAGGUUCGCAGGGGAAGGCCUUUACAGCUUCUUUCGACUCUGACAUUUCAGGAUCAGCACAAUUCUCCCCUAUUUACUGCUGAAGCAAUCAACUGGGAUUAUACAAAAAAAUUAUUUGUAUUGAA